UCUGUUUUUAGUAAGGUGAUAGCUGCAAGCAAAAGUACAAUUUCACCAUGUGAAAAAAAAGUUGCUUAUGAAAUGAUGUUGUUCAAUGGAUUCCUGCGUCAUUGAAUUUGUGAUUGCAGAGACAGAAUGAUGGGGUUGAAUGGAUAAGAGAGCCAGUUUAUUUAUACACCACACCCAUUUCUUCACUUGGUCUGUUAUACAAAGCAUUUAUCUUCUGUCAGUGAGGGAAACUUAGUGUAUAAGGAAGUUUUUUCUUGAUUGGGUAUUCAGAUAAGGAAGAGAGAAAAAGAGAAAGAGAGCUAUGGAUUCCUCAGCAAAAGAAGAGAGGGAUUCUGAAUCCGUUGGUUCAAGUAGAAGUAGAGAGGAGUGGAAGUAUGAUAUCUCUGCUGAUGAAGAAGAUCUGAUAUUGAGACUUCACAAGCUUCUUGGUGACAGGUGGGAGCUGAUUGCAGGGAGGCUACCAUGGAGGACUGCAGAGGAGAUUCAAAAGUAUUGGAAAAUGAGAAGUAAGGAUCAUUAAGGGGCAUUGGAAAAUGAGAAGGAAGGAUCAUUAAGGGGCAAGGAGCCCACCCCUUGAUAAUGUAUUUGUUAGAAAUAUUAUCUGAAAUUAGUUUUGGAAAAUGAGAAGCAAGGGACAAGGAGCUCAUCCUUGAUAAAGUAUUUGUUAGAAAUUUUAUCUGAGAUAAGUUUUGAAUUAUUUGAGAUUAAAUUAUAGUGGUUUAACAUUGAAAUGACUUCUUAUAUCAAGCUACUUUAUUAUUGUUAAA